rnacentral:rRNA from 1 species
CCUACGGAGGGCUGCAGUGAGGAAUAUUGGUCAAUGGACGAGAGUCUGAACCAGCCAAGUAGCGUGAAGGAUGACUGCCCUAUGGGUUGUAAACUUCUUUUAUAUGGGAAUAAAAUGUUCCACGUGUGGGAUUUUGUAUGUACCAUAUGAAUAAGGAUCGGCUAACUCCGUGCCAGCAGCCGCGGGAAUACGGGGGGGUCAAGCGUUGUCCGGAAUCAUUGGGCGUAAAGGGUCCGUAGGCGGCAUGUAAAGUCAGGUGUUAAAGGCGCAGGCUCAACCUUUGUAUGGUACUUGAUACUUGCAAGCUGGAAUGCGGUAGAGGUAAAGGGAAUUCUUGGUGUAGCGGUGAAAUGCUUAGAUAUCAGGAGGAACAUCGGUGGCGUAAGCGCUUUACUGGGCCGUAAUUGACGCUGAGGAACGAAAGCCAGGGUAGCAAAUGGGAUUAGAUACCCGGGUAGUC